GUUUCAACCAGCUAGGGGAUGAACGAAUUGAUGCAAAUAUGCCAAAGAAAUGAAUGGACUGUUGACUCAGUCUCACUAAUACAUGAACUUGUAGUACUAAAAAUAAUGAAAGAUAUAUAUACACAUAAUCUAAUGUUCCUAAUAUUAGUACUGAUGAAGCUGCUUUUCUUGAAUUAAAAUCUCACAUUUCUUUUAGUCCUAACAUCUU
rnacentral:misc_RNA from 1 species